AUUAAACGUUCUUGAGAAAUUUUUUCAGGAUCCGCCAAAUAUCCCCUUGUUGCAGCACUCGAAUAAUAUUCUAAACAAUCUGCAGGUGGUAAUAAUCUACGUGGUAUUGGAUCGCCUAUAAAUUAACUAUAUAGCCAUAAAAAGAAAAAGAAAAUUAAACAAUCAAAAACAACUAUACCUCUGCGAAGGAACUUUUCAGUAUCGUUUAAAGCGAAUAAACAAUUUGGAUCAUAAUAAGCCGUAGUGAUAAUGCCGCCAUUUCUUUCAAUUGCUGCAAUCACAGGUUCGCUAGCCCACUGCACUUCUAUGUUAACUUUUGCCUUGAAUAUAUUUGAGCCCUUAAAAAAGUACGCUUUUUAAUAUUUCUCUCCUUCGAACAGUAAUAAUUUUUCUGAACACGUUAAAUUAGUUACUAGUGACUGGCAGUAUACUUUCUAUUCAGGCCAUGUAAGUAAAAGAGACUCUGUGCUCUUAACAUGUUAAUAUAAUAAAUUUGAUUACCUCAUCCGUUAAAUGUA
rnacentral:lncRNA from 1 species